CUGGGGCUGAAGUCGGUCCCAAGGGUAUGGCUGUUCGCCAUUUAAAGUGGUACGCGAGCUGGGUUCAGAACGUCGUGAGACAGUUCGGUCCCUAUCUGCCGUGGGCGUUGGAUGAUUGAAGGGAGUUGCUCCUAGUACGAGAGGACCGGAGUGAACGAACCUCUGGUGUUCGGGUUGUCACGCCAGUGGCACUGCCCGGUAGCUAAGUUCGGAAUCGAUAACCGCUGAAAGCAUCUAAGCGGGAAGCGAGCCCUGAGAUGAGUCAUCCCUGACCCCUUGAGGGUCCUAAAGGGCCGUUGGAGACCACAACGUUGAUAGGUGGGGUGUGUAAGCGCGGCGACGUGUUGAGCUAACCCAUACUAAUUACCCGUGAGGCUUAACCAUACAACACCCAAGAAGUAUUCU
rnacentral:rRNA from 1 species